rnacentral:rRNA from 1 species
UGGGGAAUAUUGCACAAUGGGGGAAACCCUGAUGCAGCGACGCCGCGUGAGCGAAGAAGGCCUUCGGGUCGUAAAGCUCUUUUAUGAGGGAAGAUAAUGACGGUACCUCAAGAAAAAGCCCCGGCUAACUACGUGCCAGCAGCCGCGGUAAUACGUAGGGGGCUAGCGUUGUCCGGAAUCACUGGGCGUAAAGGGUUCGCAGGCGGAAUAACAAGUCAGAUGUGAAAGGCAUGGGCUCAACCCAUGUAAGCAUUUGAAACUGUAAUUCUUGAGAAGUGGAGAGGGAAGUGGAAUUCCUAGUGUAGCGGUGAAAUGCGUAGAUAUUAGGAGGAAUACCUGUGGCGAAGGCGACUUACUGGACACAAAUCUGACGCUGAGGAACGAAAGCGUGGGUAGCAAACAGG